rnacentral:precursor_RNA from 8 species
UGGAGCGAGAAGAUCUCCUCAUGCAGUGACACUCUAAAUGGCAGCACUGUCUGUGGUCUAAAACAAGAUCGUGCAGCCUUUUAGAGUGUUACUGUGUGAGAAAAGCAACGGUGAAGAUG